rnacentral:rRNA from 1 species
UACAGAGACUGCAAGCGUUAUUCGGAUUUACUGGGCGUAAAGGGCGCGCAGGCGGCCGAGUGCGUGAGGCGUGAAAGCCCGGGGCUUAACCCCGGAAUUGCACCUCAAACUACACGGCUAGAGCAUUGGAGAGGGUAGCAGAAUUCAUGGUGUAGCAGUGAAAUGCGUAGAUAUCAUGAGGAAUACCAGAGGCGAAGGCGGCUGCCUGGACAAUUGCUGACGCUCAGGCACGAAAGCGUGGGGAGCAAAAGGG